rnacentral:rRNA from 1 species
GACAGAGGUCCCAAGCGUUAGGCGGAAUCACUGGGCUUAAAGCGUGUGUAGGCGGAUUUGUAAGUACCUUGUGAAAUCCCACGGCUCAACCGUGGAACUGCUUGGUAUACCGCUUAUCUUGGGCCAUCUAGGGGCGAGCGGAACAAACGGUGGAGCGGUGAAAUGCGUAGAUAUCGUUUGGAACGCCAAUGGUGAAAACAGCUCGCUGGGGAUGUGCCGACGCUGAGAUACGAAAGCCAGGGGAGCGAACGGG